rnacentral:rRNA from 1 species
GCAGCCGCGGUAAUUCCAGCUCCAAUAGCGUAUAUUAAAGUUGUUGCAGUUAAAAAGCUCGUAGUUGGAUUUCUGUUUUGAGGGUUCGGUCGUGUCUCUGACAUGGACUAGAGUCCUUGAAGCAUAUUUUGUGAGGAUCUAUGAAUUCUUGGAUCGCUGAAAGAUGAGCUUAGGCGAAAGCAUUUAUCAUGGAUGUUUUCAUUAAUCAAGAACGAAAGU